UGGGGAAUCUUGGACAAUGGGCGAAAGCCUGAUCCAGCAAUGCCGCGUGAGUGAAGAAGGCCUUCGGGUUGUAAAGCUCUUUUGUCAGGGAAGAAACGGUGAGAGCUAAUAUCUCUUGCUAAUGACGGUACCUGAAGAAUAAGCACCGGCUAACUACGUGCCAGCAGCCGCGGUAAUACGUAGGGUGCAAGCGUUAAUCGGAAUUACUGGGCGUAAAGCGUGCGCAGGCGGUUUUGUAAGUCUGAUGUGAAAUCCCCGGGCUCAACCUGGGAAUUGCAUUGGAGACUGCAAGGCUAGAAUCUGGCAGAGGGGGGUAGAAUUCCACGUGUAGCAGUGAAAUGCGUAGAUAUGUGGAGGAACACCGAUGGCGAAGGCAGCCCC
rnacentral:rRNA from 1 species